rnacentral:tRNA from 1 species
GCCGGGGUAGCUCAGUUGGGAGAGCGUUAGACUGAAGAUCUAGAGGUCCCUUGUUCAAUCCCGGGUCCCGGCG